rnacentral:rRNA from 1 species
ACGAACGCUGGCGGCGUGCCUAAUACAUGCAAGUAGAACGCUGAAGAGAGGAGCUUGCUCUUCUUGGAUGAGUUGCGAACGGGUGAGUAACGCGUAGGUAACCUGCCUUGUAGCGGGGGAUAACUAUUGGAAACGAUAGCUAAUACCGCAUAACAAUUGAUGACACAUGUCAUUUAUUUGAAAGGGGCAAUUGUUCCACUACAAGAUGGACCUGCGUUGUAUUAGCUAGUAGGUGAGGUAAUGGCUCACCUAGGCGACGAUACAUAGCCGACCUGAGAGGGUGAUCGGCCACACUGGGACUGAGACACGGCCCAGACUCCUACGGGAGGCAGCAGUAGGGAAUCUUCGGCAAUGGGGGCAACCCUGACCGAGCAACGCCGCGUGAGUGAAGAAGGUUUUCGGAUCGUAAAGCUCUGUUGUAAGUCAAGAACGGGUGUGAGAGUGGAAAGUUCACACUGUGACGGUAGCUUACCAGAAAGGGACGGCUAACUACGUGCCAGCAGCCGCGGUAAUACGUAGGUCCCGAGCGUUGUCCGGAUUUAUUGGGCGUAAAGCGAGCGCAGGCGGUUUGAUAAGUCUGAAGUUAAAGGCUGUGGCUCAACCAUAGUUCGCUUUGGAAACUGUCAAACUUGAGUGCAGAAGGGGAGAGUGGAAUUCCAUGUGUAGCGGUGAAAUGCGUAGAUAUAUGGAGGAACACCGGUGGCGAAAGCGGCUCUCUGGUCUGUAACUGACGCUGAGGCUCGAAAGCGUGGGGAGCGAACAGGAUUAGAUACCCUGGUAGUCCACGCCGUAAACGAUGAGUGCUAGGUGUUGGAUCCUUUCCGGGAUUCAGUGCCGCAGCUAACGCAUUAAGCACUCCGCCUGGGGAGUACGACCGCAAGGUUGAAACUCAAAGGAAUUGACGGGGGCCCGCACAAGCGGUGGAGCAUGUGGUUUAAUUCGAAGCAACGCGAAGAACCUUACCAGGUCUUGACAUCCCGAUGCUAUUUCUAGAGAUAGAAAGUUACUUCGGUACAUCGGUGACAGGUGGUGCAUGGUUGUCGUCAGCUCGUGUCGUGAGAUGUUGGGUUAAGUCCCGCAACGAGCGCAACCCCUAUUGUUAGUUGCCAUCAUUCAGUUGGGCACUCUAGCGAGACUGCCGGUAAUAAACCGGAGGAAGGUGGGGAUGACGUCAAAUCAACAUGCCCCUUAUGACCUGGGCUACACACGUGCUACAAUGGUUGGUACAACGAGUUGCGAGUCGGUGACGGCGAGCUAAUCUCUUAAAGCCAAUCUCAGUUCGGAUUGUAGGCUGCAACUCGCCUACAUGAAGUCGGAAUCGCUAGUAAUCGCGGAUCAGCACGCCGCGGUGAAUACGUUCCCGGGCCUUGUACACACCGCCCGUCACACCACGAGAGUUUGUAACACCCGAAGUCGGUGAGGUAACCUUUUGGAGCCAGCCGCCUAAGGUGGGACAGAUGAUUGGGGUG